GUCCGGUUCAGAGUAGUCAGCUUUGGCCUCAAAAUCUGCAAGAUCUAGGAGCUUAUGCUGAACUAGAACGUUUCGAUAAUUCCAAUAUGCCUGAUGUUGAUUUGACCUUCCAAAACUUUGAAGAACUCUUCGGUGAGGAUCAGUAUCUGAACAACACUCUUCUCGAGGAGGAUAUGACAUGUUCAUCUAUGGAGAAUGAUUCAUCGAUCGAUAGAUCAGAUUACAGCUACGUUAAGAAGGACAUAUCAACAGCUUCAUCGGUUCGUACAGGACAUUCAACUCACUUUGGCCAAGCCCACGGUGAGCACAUUCCCACGAUCAAGGACUGUCCUCCGCCUAUAAGAACAAACUUUUCCUCCUUGUCCUUCUCAGCAUCAAGGCUGAGCAGUGAAAGCAGUGGUAACGAGUACGUGGAUUCACCAGCUGCCAACGAUCAGGAGGUUUCAUGUAAUUCACAGAUGGACAGUAAAAAGAAG
rnacentral:misc_RNA from 1 species